ACAUGUUGGGGGGGUAAACAAAGGGGUCCUUGUAGCGCUGACAGCAGGUGGCUCACUACCAAACAUUCCACCAUAUUCAUGAAAAGGUGCCCGUGUUUCUCUUGCCGGGGCGGUGAAGCCUCCCGGGUGGCGAGUGGCAAACAGCUGUUGGAAACCUAUUUGUAUAAUAAAUGUUUGUUUAUUGGGCGGCGCUCCGAAUCCAAAGUGUUUAUACAAGAAUAUGAAGAAAUGUUACAAAACCACAUUGACGUUUGGAAACGUAAAAGCUUCCCAUGGUGACGUCCUCUCUUGUUUGGGCCAUUAGCUCAUGUUAGCAUGCUAACAACAGAAACACUAAUUAUCAGCAGUCAUUAAUAAUGUCUGUGCUCUCACAUGUAAUGACCGUAAUAAUUAAAAACCUUGGUCCAGCCAUAGCAUGACGAAACGUCAGCUCAUGUAUGUGCUGAAGCCCAAGAAACAACUCGAAUGAGACCCACUAAAGCAACAAUAAGGUGUCAUAUUUAAUGGCCGACCCACGUAUCAGUUUAUGCAUCAACGGGAGGAAGAUCCAGAUGAGCCAAUAAACAGCAGCCGGCGGACCGAAGCGCUGGAAAGACGCCGUCCUAAUCUGAUCACAGAGCAGCGCUCAGGGCCGGCUGCUUCCCGUGUGGGCGCCAGAAAGAGGCCCGGAGCUUCAUCUGGGACCCCCGGGCUCAGAGCACCAACCCCCCCACGGAGAUACGUCAUUUAAAACACUAUUUAGACUGUAUUCAUUUGGCUGGGGUCUGACCCCCCCAGAGUCAGAAGGAUGAGUAACAGUUAAAUAUACAGUAAUGGAUGAAUGGAUCAACGUGUCGGCUCAAACAGAUAAAAAGUUGUAAAAUAUCGAUACAAAAAGAAAGUUUAAAUAGUAAAUUAUUCAAACAGAUUUAAAUACUGAAAAGAGUCGAUCAAAUAUAUAUAAAUGGUUGAAAUCAAAGCCAAAGGUCACCUGAUGGAUAGAUAAUACCGAUGCUAUCGAUUGGUUAGCUAAAGAGAGAAACAUAUUGGUUAAAACAUUCACCUUCUGCCACUGACAGAACUGCAAACAUCCACGGAUGGAAUUAAAACCGUUCAAAUGGAGACGUUUGAGGAUGAAGAGGCGCAGGAGUUCGCGUGAGGAGCAACGCUGCUUCCAGCUCAGCCAGAGGUGCUGCUCGCGGGACGAGUCCUGAUCAUCCAGAUGGAUUUCAUAAGACUUCUGCUUCCUGCUUCGGGUACCAACACAUCACAGAAAGAAAUGCACCUUAGACCAGAGAUAAUGUUCAUACACAGCAAAAUUAACAUCAGACUCAUAAGCAGCGGGCACGUAAAAUGCAGUAAAAACAAAUUUAAGAGGAAAAUACCAUAAAACAAUCCAGCUGUACAAUUAAAACAGUGAAGGCCAUCUUAAUAGUAAAAGUACCAAUACUACAGUAUAUAAAAAUGUCCAUGCAUGUUUAGUUGUGUACUUGCAGUAUCCCAUGUUCUGCCAAAAAGUGAGUACGUUAGCAGAGAAAUACGAGAGUAAAGAACCUGAGUGAGUGUACUUCUUAACGCCAGCCUCCACACCUCGACACGGUUUACAUUUGAAUACAAGUAACACGUUCUACGAAGAACAUGUUUAUUAGGAACACAAAGCUGAAUCUGAAGAAUGUUGUGAUGCAAUCAAGUUAUG
ensembl:lncRNA